AAUUGAUUAUACAUUCGUACGCAUUACAAGCUCGUCGAAAUCUUAACGAAUAAAUGUUUAAAUUAUCAUUUAGUCAAGCCACAUGAAAAGUAAACGCAUUUCAACUAAAAUUUUCUCCCCAUCUCUUGCUCAAUUUCCUUUGGCAUCUCCCUUCGAGCAACAGUUCAAUCAUUUAAUUCAUUUGUACAUUUCAUUUAUUGCAUUUUGAUGUGAGCUGGGGCAAGGCGAUUUUAUGGCAACAUAUUUUAACAUUUUACGGCUGCGAAACAGAAUCCAAAAAACGCACAAGAAGCAGAAAGAUUUCGGCUCGGAUUCGUUUUCGAUUUCGAUUUCAGUUUGGUCGAUUUGACAGCUGGAGCUGGUCCGAGUUGUUCUCUCUUUUUUUUAUUUCUUGGCCGAUUUGAUAUAGCAUUUCGUUUACCAGUUUUGGGUCUCUCAAGUACAAACCACAAGACGAAUUUGGUCAUUUAAAAUUGCGGCAAUGUCUGAUGGCCAGAUGGAUGGAUGGAUGGAUGGUCGGAUGGACGGAUGGAUGGAUGGCUGUUGCUUGCUGGUUGGGCUGCUUGAAUGGAUGUUUGCUCUGUCGCUUACAAUUGUUGUCAUUGUCAACGUGUUGGCCAGCUUCUGCUCUUCGGUUUGUUUGGUCUUCUUCUGCGGGGCGUUUACCACCACCACCACCAUUACCACCACCAGCAGCACCACCGCCACCACCAACAACAAAAACAACAAAAACAACAGCAACAACCGCAGCUUUGUCUUCGACCCAUUUAACGGACCAGUGCACUGGCGAAGCCCUAGCAUUGGACACGAUAUUGGGAACGUGAGAGUUGGCCAACUCGGCCCAGAUGCACUCAAAAAAAAUUUAAGUAUGAUUACUUGGUCAAUUUAUCGUGAACUGUUCAUGUGCUACCAAUGUGGAGUAAGUUAUCCAUGUGUUUGUUUAUAGAAAGCUGAGUAUUCCUAAGCUAAAUUUUCUCUAAGUGUAAAAUGCAAUUUAAAGCUUGAAGCUACCAUCGAUUUAAACUUGGUUAAUCUGGAAUCUUUGGCCGAGCUCUGCCCCAUCACAUGCAAUCUGUAUUGGCAUUUAUGUAUGCAAAUUUUCAAAUGAAGUGUGAAUUGCUCAGUCGCCGUCGCGAGUCUCCGACUGUCUGUGUGUAUGGCCAUUAAGAAUAUCAAUUAGGCACGUUUUGCAGCUUGGCGGCAAAGUUCAAAAUAUAAUUACAAAACCAAACCGAACCGAACCUAACCUAACCGAACAAAGCAAACAAAGCCUCGACUCUUACCCCUCUUAGUCAAUUUUCCACUUGGCUUGACUCCACUUUGACUCUGGUCAUUAAGCUGCUAGAAUUUAUGAUUUCAAUUGCAGCAAAUACAAAGAAAGAUUUUGCAGAAGCCAACGUUAAAUGAUCUUCAUGGCUAGCCGUGGCAGCCAUUUUCUGUAAUUUAUGUCAAUCAUUUGUUUGUUCUCUGCAUUUGCAUUUGCAUUUGCAUCAAUUCAUUUAAAUUCGCCUGUGUUGGCCAUUUGCUUGGCUCUUGAGCAAAAA